rnacentral:lncRNA from 1 species
UCCUAUAGUCUCCUCCUUUUUAUUCUAUUUAUGCUAAGGAUCCCCUUUCACUUUUGCUUUGCCCAGUUUAGACCAAGUCUCAGAUCACAGCAGGUUGGAGAAGACACAGCUGUUAUUUGGAACCGCCUUCCAAUGGCUCAUUCCCUUCAGUGACCAAAUACUCAGAUCAGCCCAUCAGCUCGUUCAUCACCUUUCCAAAUCAACAGAUAAUUGGAUGGGGUUCCUGUCAUGGCUUAGCAGAAGUUAAUCUGACUAGUAAAAUCCUGAGGAUGCAAGUUUGAUACGUGGCCUCACUCGGUGGGUUAAGGAUCCAGCGUUGCCGUGAGUUGUGGUGUAGGUCAUAGACACUGCGGCUUGGAUCCGGCAUUGCUGCGGCUGUGGUGUAGACCAGCAGCUGUAGCUCUGAUUCGACCAUUAGCCUGGGAACCUCCAUAUGCGACGGGUGCACCCCCCCCCCAAAAAAAGAUAAUUUUUAAAAAAUUUUUUGCCUUUUUAGAGCCGUAUUGAGGCAUAUGUAAGUUCCCAGAAAAGACAAACAAACAAACAAACAAAAAACACAAAACCUUCAAACACUUAAAUAGCAAAAAAAAACUAUCAAAUAAUCUUUUUUUUCCCCUAGGCCCAUGGCAUAUGGAAGUUCCAACCUGCACCACAGCAAUGACCCAGGCUACAGCAGUGACGAUGCCGUAUCUCUAAAUGCCAGGCCACCAGCAAACUCCCAAGGAAGCUUUUCUUCUUCUUCAGCCAUCCCGCAGCAUAUGAAAGUUCUGGGGCCAAGGAUCAAAUCCAAGGCAGAGCUGCAAUCUACACUAGCUGCAGCAACACCAGAUCCUUAACCCAGUGUGCCAGGCCAGGGAUUGAACCCAUGCCUCCACAGAGACAAGCCAGAUCAUUAGACCACUGCAUCAUAGUGGACAUUCCCUCCCAAGGAAUUUUAAUCUACUAAGGAAAGAAGACUUGGGCUUUAAAAAAAUUACUUGUGGGAGUUCCCGUUGUGGCUCAGUGGGUUAAGAACCCCAUAUAGUGUCCAUGAGGAUAUGAGUUCAAUCGCUGGCCUCGGUCAGUGGGUUAAGGAUCCAGCAUUGCCGUGAACCAUGGUGUAGGUUGCAGACUCAGCUUGGAUCCUGUGUUGCUGUGGCUGUAGUGUAGGCUGGCACUCUGCGGCUCCAAUUCGACCCCUAGCCUGGAAACCUCCUUAUGCCGCCGGUACAGCCCUAAAAAGAAAAAAAAGUUGCUUGUAUCUUAAAGUGCUUAAAGUUCAUGAAGAGUAGUCCCUUGUCUUCCCUCGAAAUAAUAUACCACUUAAACAAGAACUAUCAUAAUCCCUUGAAACAAUACUCCAUAUCUGCUAUGGACUGAACGCUUGUGCCCUUCCCCCUAAAAACCAUACUUGGAGGCCUAAUCCAAAGUAUUAAGAAGAGGGACCUGGGGAAGGGGGGAUAAGGGAUAAAUUAAGAGUUGGGAUUAAUACACCACUAUAUAUAAAAUAGAUAACCAACAAAGGCUUACUCUAUACCACAGGGAACUAACCUCACUUUUUUUUUUUUUUUUCUGUCUUUUUGCCUUUUAGGGCUGCACCUGCAGCAUAUGGAGGUUCCCAGGCCAGGGGUCCAGUCGGAGCUACAGCUGCUGGCCUACACCACAGGCACAGCAACUCGGGAUCCGAGCCACAUCCGCAACCUACACCACAGCUCACGGCAACGCUGGAUCCUUAACCCACAGAGUAAGGCCAGGGAUCGAACGCACAUCUUCAUGGAUGCCAGUCGGGUUUGCUAACCGCUGGGCCACGACAGGAACUCCAAAAUUUUGUAAUAACAUAUAAGGAACAAGAAUCUGAAGUAAAAAAGUAGAGUCUUUGAGAGGUGAUUGGCUCAUGAGGGUGGAGCCCUCAUGACUGGUAUCAGUGCCCUUACAAAAGACAUCCCAGAGAGCUCCUUUGCCGCUUCCGCUAUGUGAGGACACAGUGAGCUGACUGUUUUCUAUGAACCGGGAACCCUAAUUAGACACCAAAUCUGCUGGCACCUUAAUCUUGGACUUUGCAGCUUCCAGAACAGUGAGAAGUUUCUGUCUGUAUAAGCUACCCAGACGAUGGUAUUCUCUUAUGGCGACCAGAAAGACUAAGAAAAGGACUAUUUCACCUUGGGUACAUAUUUACAUCCUCCUACUAGAUGAGCUAUGUGUAGAGGUACACCACUCAAAGAUAAUCCAGUUACCUCAAAGCUUUCUCCAGGAGACCAUGGGCUUUUCCUGCUUUGGUCACCACCGCAUCCUCAGUUCCUAGAACGGGACCCAGUAAAACGGAAGUGUUCGACAGAUACUCAGUAAAUGAACAAACUGAUUCAAUCUAAGACUCAAUCAAACUG